rnacentral:rRNA from 1 species
UACCAAGCCGAUGAUCCGUAGGGGGCGUGAGAGCGUGGCCCCCCACACUGGCACUGAGACACGGGCCAGACUCCUACGGGAGGCAGCAGUGAGGAAUAUUGCACAAUGGGCGCAAGCCUGAUGCAGCAACGCCGCGUGAGGGACGAAGGCCUUCGGGUUGUAAACCUCUUUUCUGAGGGACGAGGAAGGACGGUACCUCAGGAAUAAGUCUCGGCUAACUACGUGCCAGCAGCCGCGGUAAAACGUAGGAGGCGAGCGUUAUCCGGAUUUACUGGGCGUAAAGCGCGCGCAGGUGGCUUCGUGAGUCGGACAUGAAAGCUCCUGGCUUAACUGGGAGAGGCUGUUCGAUACUGCGGGGCUUGAGGUUGGGAGAGGGACGCGGAAUUCCCGGUGUAGUGGUGGAAUGCGUAGAUAUCGGGAGGAACACCAGUGGCGCAAGCGGCGUCCUGGCCCACACCUGACGCUGAGGUGCGAAAGCGUGGGUAGCAAACAGGAUUAGAUACCCUGGUAGUCCACGCUGUAAACGAUGUCAACUGGGUGUCGGUAGUUUUACACUAUCGGUGCCGAAGCUAACGCG